UGCAAGUCGAGGGGUAACAGAGGAGCUUGCUCUUGCUGACGACCGGCGCACGGGUGCGUAACGCGUAUACAAUCUGCCUUGCACUAAGGGAUAGCCCAGAGAAAUUUGGAUUAAUAUCUUAUGGUUUAUAUAUAUGGCAUCAUAUUUAUAAUAAAGGUUACGGUGUAAGAUGAGUAUGCGUCCCAUUAGUUUGUUGGUAAGGUAACGGCUUACCAAGACUACGAUGGGUAGGGGCCCUGAGAGGGGGAUCCCCCACACUGGUACUGAGACACGGACCAGACUCCUACGGGAGGCAGCAGUGAGGAAUAUUGGACAAUGGAGGAGACUCUGAUCCAGCCAUGCCGCGUGCAGGAAGACGGUCCUAUGGAUUGUAAACUGCUUUUAUACAGGAAGAAUAAGGACUACGUGUAGUCUGGUGACGGUACUGUAAGAAUAAGGACCGGCUAACUCCGUGCCAGCAGCCGCGGUAAUACGGAGGGUCCGAGCGUUAUCCGGAAUUAUUGGGUUUAAAGGGUCCGUAGGCGGGCUGUUAAGUCAGGGGUGAAAGUUUGC
rnacentral:rRNA from 1 species